rnacentral:rRNA from 1 species
UACGUAGGGAGCAAGCGUUGUCCGGAAUCAUUGGGCGUAAAGCGCGCGUAGGCGGCCCUGUAAGUCCGCUGUGAAAGUCAAAGGCUCAACCUUUGAAAGCCGGUGGAUACUGCAGGGCUAGAGUCCGGAAGAGGCGAGUGGAAUCCUGGUGUAGCGGUGGAAUGCGCAGAUAUCAGGAGGAACACCAAUAGCGAAGGCAGCUCGCUGGGACGGUACUGAC